UACAGAGGGUGCGAGCGUUAAUCGGAAUUACUGGGCGUAAAGCGCACGUAGUCGGCUUUGCAAGUCGGUUGUGAAAUCCCCGGGCUCAACCUGGGAACUGCAUCCGAGACUGCAUUGCUAGAGUUUGGGAGAGGGAUGCGGAAUUCCAGGUGUAGCGGUGAAAUGCGUAGAUAUCUGGAGGAACACCGGUGGCGAAGGCGGCAUCCUGGACCAACACUGACGCUGAGUGAGCGAAAGCCAGGGGAGCCGAACAGGA
rnacentral:rRNA from 1 species